GCCGAUGUAGCUCAGUUGGUAGAGCACCUGACUUGUAAUCAGGGGGUCGCGAGUUCGAAUCCUGCCGUCGGCACCA
rnacentral:tRNA from 1 species